AAAAAAAAAUAUCUUGAAUCUGAGAAAAAUCUCAUUGUUUAAUAAACCCCAAUUAAAAUAAAAUUGAAAAUUAUAAGAUUAUGAUUGUAAAUUCUAGAGGCACGAUAAACCUCAAUUCUGUAACAAAAAAAUAAUCAAAUGUACUCAUAAACUAACAUGAAAUUGUAACGAGAAUUAACAUCAAAUAGAGUACCUGUGCGACCACCAACACCGGUAACAAGGACAGUGGUUUGAGAUGAACCUGCCAUUGAAUUGAACCGAAUUUGAUAGAGACAAAACAAAAACAAUACUCAAUGGAUUGAAAAUGUGAUACUUAUGAUGCCGAUGAAGAAAAGAAGGUUCUGGAUGAUGAAAUUAGUUUAAAUAAGAAAAAAAAAAUCAUUUGGGAAUUUAUGGAUUUUUAAUUGAAUAAGAGAUGAAGAAGAUUGAGUUUUUGAAAAAAAGAAUUUGAAGUUUUAAUUUUUUUGAUUUUCUAGGUAUGAUAAGGCAUGAAGGUGGAUGAAGAGGAUAAGAGAUGAAGAAGGAAUAGAGCAGAGAAGCUGGAGAAUGAAGAUUGUUG
rnacentral:lncRNA from 1 species